CGCUAAAACAUCGGUUCCCGUACGAUCACCGAAGUUAAGGAAUGUCGAGCCUGGUAAAUACUUAGAUGGGUGACCACUUUGAAAUAUCAGGUGCUGUAA